UACGAAGGGGGCUAGCGUUGUUCGGAAUUACUGGGCGUAAAGCGUGCGCAGGCGGUUUUUCAAGUCAGAGGUGAAAGCCCCGGGCUCAACCCGGGAAUGGCCUUUGAGACUGGAUGGCUAGAGUGUGAGAGAGGUGAGUGGAAUUCCCAGUGUAGAGGUGAAAUUCGUAGAUAUUCGCAAGAACACCAGUGGCGAAGGCGGCUCACUGGCCCGAUACUGACGCUGAGGCACGAAAGCGUGGGGAGCAAACAGG
rnacentral:rRNA from 1 species